UUGGAUAAAAGGGCACAACUAGACCAAGCACAGACUACAAGAUCUAUAAGGGGUCAGCCUAUGACAGAGCCUGGGCACUGAUGUCUACGAAAAGGACUGAUGAUGGUAGGAUUGGUGUGUUGGUCUACGUGCAGUGAUUUCCUGCGGGGCAGUUGCUGUCUGACGGAACCAGAAAUUCUUAACGACUCCCA